rnacentral:rRNA from 1 species
AGUGAACGCUGGCGGUAGGCCUAACACAUGCAAGUCGAACGGCGGCACAGUAAGAGCCUGCUCUUACGGGUGGCGAGUGGCGGACGGGUGAGGAAUACAUCGGAAUCUACUUUUUCGUGGGGGAUAACGUAGGGAAACUUACGCUAAUACCGCAUACGACCUACGGGUGAAAGCAGGGGAUCUUCGGACCUUGCGCGAUUGAAUGAGCCGAUGUCGGAUUAGCUAGUUGGCGGGGUAAAGGCCCACCAAGGCGACGAUCCGUAGCUGGUCUGAGAGGAUGAUCAGCCACACUGGAACUGAGACACGGUCCAGACUCCUACGGGAGGCAGCAGUGGGGAAUAUUGGACAAUGGGCGCAAGCCUGAUCCAGCCAUACCGCGUGGGUGAAGAAGGCCUUCGGGUUGUAAAGCCCUUUUGUUGGGAAAGAAAAGCAGCAGGUUAAUACCCCGCUGUUCUGACGGUACCCAAAGAAUAAGCACCGGCUAACUUCGUG